rnacentral:hammerhead_ribozyme from 1 species
CUGCCACUGAGGAGUCGCACAAUAGGAUGAAACGGCCGUCCAGUAC